AUACGUAGGUGGCGAGCGUUAUUCGGAUUUACUGGGCGUAAAGGGUCCGCAGGGGGUUUGCCAAGUCUGAUGUGAAAGCCCACGGCUCAACUGUGGAACUGCAUUGGAAACUGGCGAGCUUGAGUGCACGAUGGGUGAGCGGAAUUCCUGGUGUAGCGGUGGAAUGCGUAGAUAUCAGGAAGAACACCGAUGGCGAAGGCGGCUCACUGGCGUGCUACUGACCCUCAUGGACGAAAGCGUGGGUAGCAAACAGGAUUAGAUACCCUGGUAGUCCACGCUGUAAACGUUGUGCACUAGAUGUAGGCGGAGUCUGAUCCCGUCUGUGUCCAAGCUAACGCGUUAAGUGCACCGCCUGGGGACUACGGCCGCAAGGCUAAA
rnacentral:rRNA from 1 species